rnacentral:rRNA from 1 species
AGAGUUUGAUUCUGGCUCAGAUUGAACGCUGGCGGCAGGCCUAACACAUGCAAGUCGAGCGGUAGAGAGAAGCUUGCUUCUCUUGAGAGCGGCGGACGGGUGAGUAAUGCCUAGGAAUCUGCCUGGUAGUGGGGGAUAACGUUCGGAAACGAACGCUAAUACCGCAUACGUCCUACGGGAGAAAGCAGGGGACCUUCGGGCCUUGCGCUAUCAGAUGAGCCUAGGUCGGAUUAGCUAGUUGGUGGGGUAAUGGCUCACCAAGGCGACGAUCCGUAACUGGUCUGAGAGGAUGAUCAGUCACACUGGAACUGAGACACGGUCCAGACUCCUACGGGAGGCAGCAGUGGGGAAUAUUGGACAAUGGGCGAAAGCCUGAUCCAGCCAUGCCGCGUGUGUGAAGAAGGUCUUCGGAUUGUAAAGCACUUUAAGUUGGGAGGAAGGGCCAUUACCUAAUACGUGAUGGUUUUGACGUUACCGACAGAAUAAGCACCGGCUAACUCUGUGCCAGCAGCCGCGGUAAUACAGAGGGUGCAAGCGUUAAUCGGAAUUACUGGGCGUAAAGCGCGCGUAGGUGGUUUGUUAAGUUGGAUGUGAAAUCCCCGGGCUCAACCUGGGAACUGCAUUCAAAACUGACUGACUAGAGUAUGGUAG